AUGACUGAGAGCAGAACACACACAAUCUUCAUCAUCAUCAUCAUCAUCAUCACACCAGACUCAAGUACAGCUAUGAACAACAUCUGCAUCUGUGUCUGGACUCUGACUCUCUGCAUUCAGGAGAGUUGGGGACAAGUGACAGUGACUCAGAAUCCAGCAGUCAAAUCCAUCACACUAGGAGAAACUCUGACCAUCAGCUGUAAAACCAGUCAGCCCAUAUCUGGCUGUAGUGACUGUGUGUCCUGGUAUCAGCAGACACCUGGAGAAGCCCCUAAACUCCUCAUCUAUUAUAUAAGCAGCCGUUACUCAAACACUCCAUCUAGAUUCAGUGGCGAUGGAGCUAACUAUGGCAGUGAUUUUACUCUGAGCAUCAGUGGAGUCCAGACUGAAGAUGCUGGAGAUCAUUACUGUCUGAGUUUACACUAUAUCAGUGGUAGUUAUGUGUUCACACAGUGAUAAAGACUGGUACAGAAACCUGCUGUUCACAGUGACUGCACUGAUUCAGCUGAGAGACACUGCAGCUGCUGAUGGAGGAACACACACUAGCAAAGUUCAUUAAGACCUUAAAUGU